AGAUGUGCGGGUGAUCUGGCUGCGACACCUGUCACCCCAUGGAUCGUCAGGGUUGAUUCGGCUGAUCCGGCUGGCUAGGUGGGUAUCCCCUUCCUCCCUCUCUCUCCAAGUACGUCCCUCCCAAAGCUGCACACUCAAAGAGGAUGACCAUCCCCGAUGGAGGAGGACCCAGCUUUGGUCAAGGAUGUAUGAGUAGCCAUGCUCCCCUGCUAGAACCUCCAAACAAGCUCUCAAGAAUAAGCUAUGUUCUGUCACAAGGUUUUUCUUUUUUUCUAGCAGCU
rnacentral:snRNA from 1 species